rnacentral:misc_RNA from 1 species
AGCAGCCGCGGUAAUUCCAGCUCCAAUAGCGUAUAUUAAAGUUGUUGCAGUUAAAAAGCUCGUAGUUGAAUUUCGGGAUCAAUAUAUCGGUCGUGCCUUGGUACGUACUGGUAUCAUUGGUUUCUCCUUUCUGACGAACCAUGAUGUCAUUAAUUUGGUGUUAUGGGAAGUUAGGACUGUUACUUUGAAAAAAUUAGAGUGUUUAAAGCAGGCUUUGGCUUGAAUACAUUAGCAUGGAAUAAUGAAAUAGGACGUUCGAACCUAUUUUGUUGGUUUCUAGGAUCAACGUAAUGAUUAAUAGGGAUAGUUGGGGGCAUUAGUAUUCAAUUGUCAGAGGUGAAAUUCUUGGAUUUAUUGAAGACUAACUACUGCGAAAGCAUUUGCCAAGGAUGUUUUCAUUAAUCAAGAACGAAAGUUAGGGGAUCGAAGACGAUCAGAUACCGUCGUAGUCUUAACCAUAAACUAUGCCGACUAGGGAUCGGAUGAUGUUAAUUUUUAAUGACUCAUUCGGCGCUUACGG